GCAUAAUAUUAGGCAGGUGGUCAUAAUGUUAUGGCUGAUCGGUGUACAUGCAUAAUAUUAGGCAGGUGGUCAUAAUGUUAUGGCUGAUCGGUGUACAUGCAUAAUAUUAGGCAGGUGGUCAUAAUGUUAUGGCUGAUCGGUGUACAUGCAUAAUAUUAGGCAGGUGGUCAUAAUGUUAUGGCUGAUCGGUGUACAUGCAUAAUAUUAGGCAGGUGGUUAUAAUGUUAUGGCUGAUCAGUGUACCUCGGAGUGCUUUUCAGGGUUUAAAAAAAGAUCCAGAAUACAGUAAUUGAUUAAUGUGAAUUAGGUUACUUUUUCCCCCCAACCAUGACCUGUUUAAGACCUGACCAGGAAUCUGAUCAUGGCAAAAGGAAUGCAGUACAAAAAAGUAUAAAGAUUGCUGCAUUUACUACUGUAAAUCACUCAGGAUUAAAAUGUAAAAAUCUAUGAUUCUGACCUAUAUAAGAAAUGUUUUCAUCAC
ensembl:lncRNA